AAAGAAUCUUAUUCCCUAGGGCAGGAUUGCUAAACAAAGCCCUGCGGGGGGAGUUACAAGCCAUGCCCUCAGGAUGUAAUACAAGAUGGAGGCUUGAUUUCACAACCAAAACUUUCCAGAGAAUAUAGUGAUAGAUGUUGGAGGUCCCUAGUCUAGCACAACAUCUUCUAAAAGAAAAUGAAACUUUUAAAAGUUAACUACCGACAGGGUAGAGAGAAAAGAAAAGAAACAGUUUAAAAAUACCUGAGGAAGAGCCUCUCAUUCCUAUGCAACUGAUUCGUCCACCAUGGAGAUUAGUUCAAUUAUUGUCCAAUGGAGUAGAACCCCUUGGCUGGGGUAGGGGAAGGAGAAGACCGCAAGCUGGCUCUGCGAAGACCCUUGAGCCACGCGUCCCAGCCCCAGCAUGAAGCAGUGAUGGAAGGAAAAUGUCUGGGAAGCCCCGGUGGAAUGCAACAGGAAGAUAGCAACAGCAUCUAUCUCAAAGUGUGUCCGGAAUUGGUGGGUUCUUGGUCUCACUGACUUCAAGAAUGAAGCUGCGGACCCUCGCAGUGAGUGUCACAGUUCUUAAAGGCGGCGUGUCUGGAGUUUGUUCCUUCUGAUGCUCGGAUGUGUUAGGAGUUUCUUCCUUCUGGUGGGUUCGUGGUCUCUCUGGCUUCAGGAGUGAAGCUGCAGACCUUCACGGUGAGUGUUACAGCUCAUAAAUGCAGUGUGGACCCAAAGAGUGAGCAGCAGCAAGAUUUAUUGCAAAGAGUGAAAGAACAAAUUUUCCAGUGUGGAAGGGGACCCCAGCGGGUGGCUCAGGCAGCCUGCUUUUAUUCUCUUAUCUGGCCCCACCCACAUCCUGCUGAUUGGUCCAUUUUACAGAGAGCUGAUUGGUCCAUUUUGACAGGGUGCUGAUUGGUGCGUUUACAAUCCCUGAGCUAGACACAAAAGUUCUGCAGGUCCCCACUAGAUUAGCUAGAUACAGUGUGGACACAAAGGUUCUCCAAGUCCCCACCAGAGUAGGUAGAUACAGAGUGUUGAUUGGUGCAUUCACAAACCCUGAGCUAGACACAGGGUGCUGAUUGAUGUGUUUACAAACCUUGAGCUAGACACAGAAUGCCCAUUGGUGUAUUUACAAUCCCUUAGCUAGACAUAAAGGUUCUCCAAGUCCCCACCAGACUUAGAAGCCCAGCUAGCUUCACCCAGUGGAUCCCAC
rnacentral:lncRNA from 10 species